UGGGGAAUUUUGGACAAUGGGCGAAAGCCUGAUCCAGCAAUGCCGCGUGCGUGAAGAAGGCCUUCGGGUUGUAAAGCACUUUUGUCCGGAAAGAAAUCCUUGGCUCUAAUACAGUCGGGGGAUGACGGUACCGGAAGAAUAAGCACCGGCUAACUACGUGCCAGCAGCCGCGGUAAUACGUAGGGUGCAAGCGUUAAUCGGAAUUACUGGGCGUAAAGCGUGCGCAGGCGGUUUGCUAAGACCGAUGUGAAAUCCCCGGGCUCAACCUGGGAACUGCAUUGGUGACUGGCAGGCUAGAGUAUGGCAGAGGGGGGUAGAAUUCCACGUGUAGCAGUGAAAUGCGUAGAGAUGUGGAGGAAUACCGAUGGCGAAGGCAGCCCCCUGGGCCAAUACUGACGCUCAUGCACGAAAGCGUGGGGAGCAAACAGGAUUAGAUACCCUGGUAGUCCACGCCCUAAACGAUGUCAACUAGUUGUUGGGGAUUCAUUUCCUUAGUAACGUAGCUAACGCGUGAAGUUGACCGCCUGGGGGAGUACGGUCGCAAGAUU
rnacentral:rRNA from 1 species